AAACCCUAGCUUUGUCCUCUGACAUUUUUCCAACCACCCCCCGCCUCCUUUCUUCCUCUCAGCCGCAAGCAACACACAUCCACACACUCCUCCCUCAUCCCCAUCUCUCUCCCGCUCGACCCCCUCUCGCCGCCGCCACCAACGGAGCCCCGACCCAGGCGACCUCCGAUGGGAUCCCCUUGCUCCGCUCUUCCCCCCAUCCCGUGCUCCUUCCCACUCGCGCGCUCGAGCCGAACCCUACAUGCGCAUGCGCAUGCGCACCGGGGGCCUCACCAAUCCACGAGAUGUGGCGUAGCUGUGUGUCGUGAUGGCCGCAGCGUAGGCCCACACGGGUGGACGGACGGACGAAAGCAACGACGAGGGCGCGGGAGAGAACUGUUGGCCGCCCGGGGCCUCCAGCCACGGUGGUGGCGGCGGUGACGGGGUGCAUGUGUUCCGCCAUGCCUAGGAUUUUGCAGUUUAUCCCAAUUCGAUCUGAUCGGAGCACCUCUACCUCAUCCCCAACAUCGGGCCGCUACAGCCGUCAGCGAGCUGUCCGACUUCCCCCCCGCCACGCCCGAGGGCGAGGCGUGAGUGACAUCUGCCGCCGACCCGGUGGAUGCUUGGGUGAAGGAUUAUAGAUGCCCGUCGACCGCUUUCUUCUAUACCUGGUACGAGUAGAUUGAGCUCAAGCCUGCCUUCCUCGUGCCUCACGGCCAGCUGCAGUAUGAUAUAAUAAGUUGUGGGUGAACUGAACUACUCCGUGUGGUUUCGCUGUAGAGUGUUGGGAUGAUGAGGACCAGACUAGUACCAAAUUUACUCUUCUCUUCACGGAUGUGUAAUCCUCUCAAGGAUCUGAUAUGUUGCAGAAUAUAUAAAGAGGACAAGGGCCUCAUGAACAACCAAGGUGCAUGGUGCUCGCAAGCGAGAAACGGAGGUUGUUCGACAUCGGCUACAUAUACCACCAUUAUUCUGAUUUUAGAAGGCCUAGAAUCUGAGAAUCAGAAGCUGCAGCCCAAACAAAGGCCACCUUACUAUACUGGUUCCAAGUGCUUGAGUAGCACCUCUGAGAUAAGUCACUUGUGGUUAAUUAGUAGCUUUAUCGUUUGUGUUUGUGCAUUGUUUUUUCGUGGGCAUCAUUCAUGGUUGUCUAGUAGUCGACAUACUGUUAUUCCCUUAUCUUGUUAUGGAGCAAAUUCGCUAUUGUUGUUAUAUGCAAGAACUAGUGAGAAACUUGAAGAAAUUUUAGAAGUUGGAACAUAUAACUAGUUUGUUUGAACAAGGCUAAUUCACUCUAUUAUGUCAUUUCAGUCAGAUGAAAUGAAUUUGCCACGAAAUCUGUGUGAGAACUACUAAAGAAAUUGAACAAGUUUAGAAGUCAGAAAUAUAUGCCUAUUUGGCUUUUUAGUUCGUUUUAACAAAGUCGAUUCAUUCUACUCUAUUAUGUUAUUUCAGUUAGAUGAAGUUGCCAUGAAAUCUCUGGAGCUUGAUGGAUACAAAA